GAAGAUCCUUUUCUCCAGGAUGUCCAUGUGGCUCAAACCUCUCUAAGGAGAAUGAGGUGCUCACGGCCACACCUUAGUCACUACUGACUCUCAACCUACCUCAUCUCAUCACCAUAUACUGCCUCAAAUUGUUCCUUGGAAUGAGGUAGAAUAUUAAAAAACGAACUAACUAGGUGAAAGAUAAAGAAAUUACAUGGCUACCUCUCCACAGCCUCCACAGAGACCAAUGGCCAAUGGGGAGAACCACCCUACCUCUUAAACGAGAAGAAAAAGAAAGCAAAUGUUCCCGCCGUGUGUGGCAGAACAGUGUUCAGCUUGUUUAAUUGGAGGACUGCAGGGUGAAGGGACACGAUUCUCCAGGAGAUUUUCAGAAGGAAAGCAAAGUUUAUCAACAAAAAAGUCCAGGUGCCCUUUCUUCCAAUAAUAUUUGCAGUUAGAUAAGAUUUUUUUUAAAACCACCUGUAAUUAAUGUCUACUAAUGUUCUUUAGCUAAACC